CAUGGAUGUUGGAGCCCAGGUCGUUCCGCAGGGCGCUGGUCACCGCGCCGGAGCCGCUGCAGACCGGACCGAGCGGAGGUUCGCAAAAAAACAGGGAACUCAUGAUGAAAGAUAACUAAAAAAUGCUGAGAGCACGGAAGAUGGGGGGACCAUCACUGUCACAGCUGGAAGACUCUAACAUGGGCUCCUGCAGCAAACACCAACCCUAAAAAGUCCUUUAGGAGCCACAGAGGGCUUCAUCUCCUGACGGAACCGAAGGUUUGACGCAGAUCGAAAUAAUAAGCACCAGCCUCAUUCCUCGUCACCCUCAUGUUUCUUGUCUCCGUCUUUGUCCAGAUCUGCUGAUGCUGCCGGCCGACUGAGGAGGAGCUUUCUGUCCUUAUCAUCCCCCGGUUCACCGCGGCUCUACCCAGUCUCCAUGCGGCGCGGAGGGGCAGGAUGCAGCGCCGCAGAGCCCGGCCUCUCCAUGGAUCAUGUUGCAAAGUGCUAAACUCGGCACUAUCACCUUAUCAGCCCCUCCCACAUCCCUCCCAAAGCCUCUCACUCUGUCUCCAUGACGAGACUCAGCCAAGGCUUAUAGCUGGACUUCAAUAUGGCCAUUUCAUUUUGAUUUGUUACGCAUUUUUUGUUCAGAACAUGUAUUUUAGAAGUAAUUCCAAGUUUGAUUGCUUCUCAUUAAAGAAAAGUAAAACAUUAAAAAUGAUUUUAAAUUAUAUCAUCAUUCUAAAAUUUGCUGUAUGGUUAUAAUAAAUGUAAUAAAUUGUUUUCUACAUCCAAAGAAAGCAAUUACCCACAAAGGUUUAUAUAUAUAUAUAUAUUCCAAUAUUUUGUCCCAUAAUUGCAUUCAAAGCAAAAUCUGGGAUGGAGAAGAUAAUAUUUACCCAUCAAAAGUCACCAUAUAUAUGAACAAAUACUAAUAUUUGCCAUGUCAGUUGCAUUAAACACAAGUUUAUUAAUAAUAGGGUAGGUACCAGAAUUUCUUUCAAUACCGUCGUUCCCAUAAAACCAACUGUUUUGAAUUGGACAAUAAUAGGAUUCAACGGGAUUGCACUGAAUUUACAUGCAUUGUGCAGAACUCGAUAUUGUAUAUUAGAAUAUGAAUUAGAUCAGUUUAUUUUGACUAUUAAGUGCUUUGUAUCACUAUGGUUUUCUUUUGAGAAUAAACUAUUGAUCCCACUUUA